rnacentral:rRNA from 1 species
GAGGCAAUAACAGGUCUGUGAUGCCCUUAGAUGUUCUGGGCCGCACGCGCGCUACACUGCUGGGUUCAACGAGUCCGAACCGUACUUGGCUGAAAGGCCUGGUUAAUCUUUUGAAAUCCCAGCGUGCUUGGGCUUGCCUCUUGGAACUAGAGGCACCAACGAGGAAUUCCUAGUAGACGCAAGUCAUCAACUUGCAUCGAUUACGUCCCUGCCCUUUGUACACACCGCCCGUCGCUCCUACUGAUUGAGUGCUCCGGUGAAAUGUCGGGAGAUUGCUCCGCCGAUCAGCAAUGGUCGCGGAGUGGUCGAACUUCAUUAAAUUUGGGCUCUUAGAAGAAGGAGAAGUCGUAACAAGGUUUCCGUAGGCGUCGUCGUCGGCGCCGCCUACAGGAGCUGGUCCUUCCAGCACGGUCAUCGCCCGGGAAGCCUUAGCAGCCGGAAACGGUGCUGAACGCGACUUUGUAAAAAACAACGAGUCAGCUUGAAUGCUAGUGUGGCGCGCGCCAUGCGACACUGUUAAAUUGCGGGGACCCCCUGAAGCUUUGUCCUACCAAGUGCUUGUGCGCGAAAGCGCCAGCAUGGCCGAGCCAAUCGCCCUGGGUAUGGUAACAACGGACAAGGAUGUUAUAUAUGGGUGAUCCGCAGCCAAGUCCUACGUCGAAUCGCGCAUGUUCGAUAUGGAACGGGUUCACAGACUAGAUAGCAGUGGGUGGCACACACACGUGUGUCGCUUAAGAUAUAGUCGGUCUCGUGCCGAAACGCACGGGGAGGUGAUCGACGCUCUUGCGUGUCGCUGUAUUCGACAACUGCAAGUGUGCGUCACAUGCACAUAUACGUUCCGUAGGUGAACCUGCGGAAGGAUCAUUAACACAGUGGGCGGCCCUAGCGCUGCAUCCCAUAUCCAACCCCAUGUGAACCGGUGACGUGCGGCGACUCCAGCUGCGUGUUUCAUUUUCGAACCAUCCUAGCCGAAACACGACUAAAGUUCCAUACAUACAUACAUGUUACAACUCUUAGCAAUGGAUAUCUUGGUUCUCACAACGAUGAAGAACGCAGCGAACUGCGAUACGUAGUGCGAAUUGCAGAAUUCAGUGAAUCAUCAAAUCUUUGAACGCAAGUUGCGCUUCCGAGAUACCCUUGGAAGCAUGCCUCUUUGAGUGUCGGUUUCUGUUCGUUUGCGCGCCCGCGCGCGCAAGACAAUGAGCUUUGCUGCGGCAUAGCUUGAACGAAGCGACCCGGGAUCGUGCGCGCAUUGCUGAUACCCUCGAGAAUGCCGGAGCGGUCCCCGCCGAUCUGCGCGCAAUCGCAGAUCGACACACACACAUCAAAGAUCUCAAAUGAGGUAGGAUUACCCGCUGAAUUUAAGCAUAUCAAUAAGCGGAGGA